ensembl:lncRNA
AGUAAUUAUAAUGAUAUAAAGUGACAGGUGUACAUGAUAUAAAGUGACAGGUGUACAUGAUAUAAAAUGACAAGUGUACAUGAUAUAAAGUGACAGGUGUACAUGAUAUAAAAUGACAAGUGUACAUGAUAUAAAGUGACAGGUGUACAUGAUAUAAAAUGACAAGUGUACAUGAUAUAAAGUGACAGGUGUACAUGAUAUAAAAUGACAAGUGUACAUGAUAUAAAGUGACAGGUGUACAUGAUAUAAAGUGACAGGUGUACAUGAUAUAAAAUGACAAGUGUACAUGAUAUAAAGUGACAGGUGUACAUGAUAUAAAGUGACAAGUGUACAUGAUAUAAAGUGACAGGUGUACAUGAUAUAAAAUGUCAGGUGUACAUGAUAUAAAAUGACAGGUGUACAUGAUAUAAAGUGACAGGUGUACAUGAUAUAAAAUGACAGGUGUACAUGAUAUAAAGUGACAGGUGUACAUGAUAUAAAAUGACA